GGGUUGUGAGGUUAAGCGACUAAGCGUACACGGUGGAUGCCCUGGCAGUCAGAGGCGAUGAAGGACGUGCUAAUCUGCGAUAAGCGUCGGUAAGGUGAUAUGAACCGUUAUAACCGGCGAUUUCCGAAUGGGGAAACCCAGUGUGUUUCGACACACUAUCAUUAACUGAAUCCAUAGGUUAAUGAGGCGAACCGGGGGAACUGAAACAUCUAAGUACCCGAGGAAAAGAAAUCAACCGAGAUUCCCCAGUAGCGGCGAGCGAACGGGGAGCAGCCCAGAGCCUGAAUCAGUGUGUGUGUUAGUGGAAGCGUCUGGAAAGGCGUGCGAUACAGGGUGACAGCCCCGUACACAAAAAUGCACAUGCUGUGAGCUCGAUGAGUAGGGCGGGACACGUGGUAUCCUGUCUGAAUAUGGGGGGACCAUCCUCCAAGGCUAAAUACUCCUGACUGACCGAUAGUGAACCAGUACCGUGAGGGAAAGGCGAAAAGAACCCGGCGAGGGAGUGAAAAAGAACCUGAAACCGUGUACGUACAAGCAGUGGGAGCACGCUUAGGCGUGUGACUGCGUACCUUUUGUAUAAUGGGUCAGCGACUUAUAUUCUGUAGCAAGGUUAACCGAAUAGGGGAGCCGAAGGGAAACCGAGUCUUAACUGGGCGUUAAGUUGCAGGGUAUAGACCCGAAACCCGGUGAUCUAGCCAUGGGCAGGUUGAAGGUUGGGUAACACUAACUGGAGGACCGAACCGACUAAUGUUGAAAAUUAGCGGAUGACUUGUGGCUGGGGGUGAAAGGCCAAUCAAACCGGGAGAUAGCUGGUUCUCCCCGAAAGCUAUUUAGGUAGCGCCUCGUGAAUUCAUCUCCGGGGGUAGAGCACUGUUUCGGCAAGGGGGUCAUCCCGACUUACCAACCCGAUGCAAACUGCGAAUACCGGAGAAUGUUAUCACGGGAGACACACGGCGGGUGCUAACGUCCGUCGUGAAGAGGGAAACAACCCAGACCGCCAGCUAAGGUCCCAAAGUCAUGGUUAAGUGGGAAACGAUGUGGGAAGGCCCAGACAGCCAGGAUGUUGGCUUAGAAGCAGCCAUCAUUUAAAGAAAGCGUAAUAGCUCACUGGUCGAGUCGGCCUGCGCGGAAGAUGUAACGGGGCUAAACCAUGCACCGAAGCUGCGGCAGCGACGCUGAUGCGUUGUUGGGUAGGGGAGCGUUCUGUAAGCCUGCGAAGGUGUGCUGUGAGGCAUGCUGGAGGUAUCAGAAGUGCGAAUGCUGACAUAAGUAACGAUAAAGCGGGUGAAAAGCCCGCUCGCCGGAAGACCAAGGGUUCCUGUCCAACGUUAAUCGGGGCAGGGUGAGUCGACCCCUAAGGCGAGGCCGAAAGGCGUAGUCGAUGGGAAACAGGUUAAUAUUCCUGUACUUGGUGUUACUGCGAAGGGGGGACGGAGAAGGCUAUGUUGGCCGGGCGACGGUUGUCCCGGUUUAAGCGUGUAGGCUGGUUUUCCAGGCAAAUCCGGAAAAUCAAGGCUGAGGCGUGAUGACGAGGCACUACGGUGCUGAAGCAACAAAUGCCCUGCUUCCAGGAAAAGCCUCUAAGCAUCAGGUAACAUCAAAUCGUACCCCAAACCGACACAGGUGGUCAGGUAGAGAAUACCAAGGCGCUUGAGAGAACUCGGGUGAAGGAACUAGGCAAAAUGGUGCCGUAACUUCGGGAGAAGGCACGCUGAUAUGUAGGUGAAGUCCCUCGCGGAUGGAGCUGAAAUCAGUCGAAGAUACCAGCUGGCUGCAACUGUUUAUUAAAAACACAGCACUGUGCAAACACGAAAGUGGACGUAUACGGUGUGACGCCUGCCCGGUGCCGGAAGGUUAAUUGAUGGGGUCAGCGCAAGCGAAGCUCUUGAUCGAAGCCCCGGUAAACGGCGGCCGUAACUAUAACGGUCCUAAGGUAGCGAAAUUCCUUGUCGGGUAAGUUCCGACCUGCACGAAUGGCGUAAUGAUGGCCAGGCUGUCUCCACCCGAGACUCAGUGAAAUUGAACUCGCUGUGAAGAUGCAGUGUACCCGCGGCAAGACGGAAAGACCCCGUGAACCUUUACUAUAGCUUGACACUGAACAUUGAGCCUUGAUGUGUAGGAUAGGUGGGAGGCUUUGAAGUGUGGACGCCAGUCUGCAUGGAGCCGACCUUGAAAUACCACCCUUUAAUGUUUGAUGUUCUAACGUGGACCCGUGAUCCGGGUUGCGGACAGUGUCUGGUGGGUAGUUUGACUGGGCGGUCUCCUCCUAAAGAGUAACGGAGGAGCACGAAGGUUGGCUAAUCCUGGUCGGACAUCAGGAGGUUAGUGCAAUGGCAUAAGCCAGCUUGACUGCGAGCGUGACGGCGCGAGCAGGUGCGAAAGCAGGUCAUAGUGAUCCGGUGGUUCUGAAUGGAAGGGCCAUCGCUCAACGGAUAAAAGGUACUCCGGGGAUAACAGGCUGAUACCGCCCAAGAGUUCAUAUCGACGGCGGUGUUUGGCACCUCGAUGUCGGCUCAUCACAUCCUGGGGCUGAAGUAGGUCCCAAGGGUAUGGCUGUUCGCCAUUUAAAGUGGUACGCGAGCUGGGUUUAGAACGUCGUGAGACAGUUCGGUCCCUAUCUGCCGUGGGCGCUGGAGAACUGAGGGGGGCUGCUCCUAGUACGAGAGGACCGGAGUGGACGCAUCACUGGUGUUCGGGUUGUCAUGCCAAUGGCACUGCCCGGUAGCUAAAUGCGGAAGAGAUAAGUGCUGAAAGCAUCUAAGCACGAAACUUGCCCGAGAUGAGUUCUCCCUGACUCCUUGAGAGUCCUGAAGGAACGUUGAAGACGACGACGUUGAUAGGCCGGGUGUGUAAGCGCAGCGAUGCGUUGAGCUAACCGGUACUAAUGAACCGUGAGGCUUAACCUUACAACGCCGAAGCUGUU
rnacentral:rRNA from 1 species